rnacentral:rRNA from 1 species
UACGGAGGGAGCUAGCGUUUUUCGGAAUUACUGGGCGUAAAGAGCAUGUAGGCGGCUUAUCAAGUUGAAAGUGAAAUCCCAGGGCUUAACCCUGGAACUGCUUUCAAAACUAGUAAGCUAGAGUAUGAUAGGGGACAGUGGAAUUCCUAGUGUAGAGGUGAAAUUCUUAGAUAUUAGGAGGAACACCGGUGGCGAAAGCGACUGUCUGGAUCAUUUCUGACGCUGAGAUGCGAAAGCGUGGGGAGCAAACAGG